UUGACCUCGAAUCAGGUAGGAAUACCCGCUGAACUUAAGCAUAUCAAUAAGCGGAGGAAAAGAAACCAACAGGGAUUGCCUCAGUAACGGCGAGUGAAGCGGCAACAGCUCAAAUUUGAAAUCUGGCCUCCUGGUCCGAGUUGUAAUUUGCAGAGGAUGCUUCGGGCGCGGUGCCUUCCAAGUCCCCUGGAACGGGGCGCCGGAGAGGGUGAGAGCCCCGUACGGUUGGCGGCCAAGCCUGUGUGAAGCUCCUUCGACGAGUCGAGUAGUUUGGGAAUGCUGCUCUAAGCGGGAGGUAGACCCCUUCUAAAGCUAAAUAUUGGCCAGAGACCGAUAGCGCACAAGUAGAGUGAUCGAAAGAUGAAAAGCACUUUGAAAAGAGGGUUAAACAGCACGUGAAAUUGUUGAAAGGGAAGCGCUUGAGACCAGACGUGCGCCGGGGUGCUCAGCGGGCGUUCUCGCCCGUGCACUCGCCCCGGCGCAGGCCAGCGUCGGUUUGGGCGGGGGGAUAAAGGCGUCUGGAAUGUGGCUCCCCCGGGAGUGUUAUAGCCAGGCGUGCCAUGCCUCCGCCCGGACCGAGGUACGCGUUCUGCAAGGACGCUGGCGUAAUGGUCCCCAGCGACCCGUCUUGAAACACGGACCAAGGAGUCGAGGUUUUGCGCGAGUGUUUGGGUGAAAAACCCGCACGCGUAAUGAAAGUGAACGUAGGUGAGAGCUUCGGCGCAUCACCGACCGAUCCUGAUGUUUUCGGAUGGAUUUGAGUAAGAGCGUAGGGCCUCGGACCCGAAAGAUGGUGAACUAUGCUUGGAUAGGGUGAAGCCAGAGGAAACUCUGGUGGAGGCUCGCAGCGGUUCUGACGUGCAAAUCGAUCGUCAAAUCUGAGCAUGGGGGCGAAAGACUAAUCGAACCAUCUAGUAGCUGGUUACCGCCGAAGUUUCCCUCAGGAUAGCAGUGUUGUUCUUCAGUUUUAUGAGGUAAAGCGAAUGAUUAGGGACUCGGGGGCGCUAUUUAGCCUUCAUCCAUUCUCAAACUUUAAAUAUGUAAGAAGCCCUUGUUGCUUAAUUGAACGUGGGCAUUCGAAUGUACCAACACUAGUGGGCCAUUUUUGGUAAGCAGAACUGGCGAUGUGGGAUGAACCAUACGGGGGGUUAAGGUGCCAGAGUAGACGCUCAUCAGACACCACAAAAGGCGUUAGCACAUCUUGACAGCAGGACGGUGGCCAUGGAAGUCGGAAUCCGCUAAGGACUGUGUAACAACUCACCUGCCGAAUGUGCUAGCCCUGAAAAUGGAUGGCGCUCAAGCGUCUCACCCAUACCCCCCCCUCAGGGUAGACACGAUGCCCUGAGGAGUAGGCGGCCGCAGUGCUGUGUGACGAAGGCUAGGGCGUGAGCCCGGCUCGAACCGGCGCUGGUGCGGAUCUUGGUGGUAGUAGCAAAUACUUCAAUGAGAACUUGAAGGACCGAAGUGGGGAAAGGUUCCAUAUGAACAGCGGUUGGAUGUGGGUUAGUCGAUCCUAAGCCAUAGGGAAGUUCCGUUUCAAAGGGGCACUUGUGCCCCGUGUGGCGAAAGGGAAGCCGGUUAAUAUCCCGGCACCUGGAUGUGGGUUUUUCGCGGCAACGCAACCGAACGCGGAGACGGCGGCGGGGGCCCCGGGCAGAGUUCUCUUUUCUUCUUAACGGCCUCUCACCCUGGAAACAGUUUGUCUGGAGAUAGGGUUUAACGACCGGAAGAGCCCGGCACUUCUGCCGGGUCCGGCGCGCCCCCGACGUCCCUUGAAAAUCCGCGGGAGGGAAUAAUUCUCACGCUAGGUCGUACUCAUAACCGCAGCAGG
rnacentral:rRNA from 1 species